ACCCCCAUGUUCUAUUAUGUAAAAAUGAUACUAUAUACAUUUCCACAUGUAGGCAAACUGGAUUAAUCUUAUAAAAUUCUUGAUAUUCAUUUUCUUUUAAUUUCAAAUAAAAUUGUAAUCACUAUAUUUAGUGUGACCGUUGUGCAAAACUAAAAGCAAUAUUUGAAGAAGUAAGUUUGCCUAAUCAAAGAUACUGGCAACAAAUCCUAAUCUGGCUGAAAUUGCAUAUUAGGUGCAAAAAUGCCAAAUUAAUUGGCCCAUAACUCAGAAGGAUGAACACUGACCCGCCCCCCCCCCCACCCCCAUUAUCUUUAUAUUUUAUAAGUAUGUUUUGCCUACAGAUUAUAAUUAUAUACUUCUCAAAAACUUUUUGAUACAAGACCAUUGAGGAGUGAAAUACCUUAAGACGAAAUUCGAAGAUUUGUGGAAAGUGAGAUACAAUGAAUUUCUUUAUAUUUCACGAUAGCUAUAUUUAUCGUAGAUAUGACGACAAUGUAUUUAACGCUUUUAGGAACUAUGUUUGCAUGAUUUUGAAGGAAAAAAGCGUAACAGGACGUAAUGCGUGAAACAAAAUUGUUUAAUGAGAUUGCAAAAAUUAAAAUCUUACAUUCUUGUGAAAUCUGAACAGUGCUUUAUUUUCAAGCAUAUUUUAAUGCAUAUAUUUACAGUGUAGUUAUGAAGCAUCUUCCUAUUUUAAUUAAUUUUUUGUAGAUAUUUAUACAAACAACAAAUAAAUAAAAACAGUUUCGCCCCGUCCUGAAUUCGCUCAGACACAGUUGUGUUUAAAGAAAAAUGAUAUAAGUAUACAGUAUGUUUAUACAUCUUAAUAUGUUUAUACAUACUAACCUAAUUUAUUCUGCACAUAUAUUUAGUUGUUGAGAAAAUUAUUAGAGAAUUUUAUAGUUAUUAAUCAAUUGAGCGUAGAUUUUUCUGACUUUCUCGUUUGUGAAAUUAAAACACGUAAUAAAUCGAUCUGGCUUUUGUU
rnacentral:sRNA from 1 species